UGCCAGCAGCCGCGGUAAUACGUAGGGGGCCAGCGUUGUCCGGAAUUAUUGGGCUUAAAGGGUGCGUAGGCGGCGCUGUAAGUCGGGUGUGAAAGCCCACGGCUCAACCGUGGAAUUGCGCCCGAUACUGCAGUGCUUGAGGGAGACAGGGGUGAGUGGAACUGAUGGUGGAGCGGUGAAAUGCGUUGAUAUCAUCAGGAGCACCGGUGGCGAAAGCGGCUCACUGGGUCUCUUCUGACGCUGAGGCACGAAAGCUAGGGUAGCGAACGGGAUUAGAUA
rnacentral:rRNA from 1 species